GGCAGCGUGGCUCAGUGGAAAGAGCCUGAACCUGGGAGUCAGAGGUUACGGGUUCGAAUCCUGACUCUGCCA
rnacentral:tRNA from 1 species